rnacentral:rRNA from 1 species
GAUGAACGCUGGCGGCGUGCCUAAUACAUGCAAGUCGAGCGAACAGACGAGUAGCUUGCUCCUCUGACGUUAGCGGCGGACGGGUGAGUAACACGUGGAUAACCUACCUAUAAGACUUGGAUAACUUCGGGAAACCGGAGCUAAUACCGGAUAAUAUAUUGAACCGCAUGGUUCAAUAGUGAAAGACGGUUUUGCUGUCACUUAUAGAUGGAUCCGCGCCGCAUUAGCUAGUUGGUAAGGUAACGGCUUACCAAGGCAACGAUGCGUAGCCGACCUGAGAGGGUGAUCGGCCACACUGGAACUGAGACACGGUCCAGACUCCUACGGGAGGCAGCAGUAGGGAAUCUUCCGCAAUGGGCGAAAGCCUGACGGAGCAACGCCGCGUGAGUGAUGAAGGUCUUCGGAUCGUAAAACUCUGUUAUUAGGGAAGAACAAAUGUGUAAGUAACUAUGCACGUCUUGACGGUACCUAAUCAGAAAGCCACGGCUAACUACGUG